UACGUAGGGUGCAAGCAUUAAUCGGAAUUAUUGGGCGUAAAGGGCGCGUAGGCGGAUUGAUAAGUCAGAUGUGAAAUACCAAAGCUCAACUUUGGUGCUGCAUUUGAAACUGUCUCUCUAGAGGAUUGACGGAGAAAGCGGAAUUCCACGUGUAGCGGUGAAAUGCGUAGAUACGUGGAGGAACACCGGUGGCGAAAGCGGCUUUCUAGUUUAGACCUGACGCUGAGGCGCGAGAGCAAGGGGAGCAAACAGG
rnacentral:rRNA from 1 species